rnacentral:rRNA from 1 species
UGGGGGAUAUUGCACAAUGGGCGAAAGCCUGAUGCAGCGACGCCGCGUGGGGGAUGAAGGCCUUCGGGUUGUAAACUUCUUUUGCUCUGAACAAGGCGCACCAUGGGGUGUGUUGAGUGUAGGGGUUGAUUAGCGCCGGCUAACUACGUGCCAGCAGCCGCGGUAAUACGUAGGGCGCGAGCGUUGUCCGGAAUUAUUGGGCGUAAAGGGCUUGUAGGUGGCUGGUUGCGUCUGUCGUGAAGGCUCAUGGCUUAACUGUGGGUUUGCGGUGGGUACGGGCUGGCUUGAGUGCAGUAGGGGAGGCUGGAAUUCCUGGUGUAGCGGUGGAAUGCGCAGAUAUCAGGAGGAAUACCGGUGGCGAAGGCGGGUCUCUGGGCUGUUACUGACACUGAGGAGCGAAAGCAUGGGGAGCGAACAGG